UACGUAGGGGGCAAGCGUUGUCCGGAUUUAUUGGGCGUAAGGAGCGUGUAGGCGGCCAGGUAGGUCUGCUGUGAAAACUCGAGGCUUAACCUCGAGCUGUCGGCGGAAACCAUCUGGCUAGAGUCCGGAAGAGGAGAAUGGAAUUCCCGGUGUAGCGGUGGAAAUGCGCAGAUAUCGGAGGAAGACACCCGGUGGCGAAGGCGGUCGUUCUGGGACGUGUGAACGCUGAAGACGAGA
rnacentral:rRNA from 1 species